rnacentral:piRNA from 1 species
UGGUACUCUUGGUAUGCUAUGGUUCC